rnacentral:rRNA from 1 species
UACGAAGGGGGCUAGCGUUGUUCGGAAUUACUGGGCGUAAAGCGCACGUAGGCGGACUGUUAAGUCAGGGGUGAAAUCCCGGGGCUCAACCCCGGAACUGCCUUUGAUACUGGUGGUCUCGAGUCCGGAAGAGGUUAGUGGAAUUCCCAGUGUAGAGGUGAAAUUCGUAGAUAUUGGGAAGAACACCAGUGGCGAAGGCGGCUAACUGGUCCGGUACUGACGCUGAGGUGCGAAAGCGUGGGGAGCAAACAGG